rnacentral:rRNA from 1 species
AUGCAUGAUCAGGUCGGCCUGGACCUGAGCGGCUUUCCACUCGACCACGAGUUUCCGAAGGACUACGACCAAGAGGAAGAGGAUGAGUUGGACAUCGAAGGGGAACCUUUGUUCGAGGACGAGCUCGCCAACCAAGCCGCCGGGGGGAAGACGAAGCGCAAGAGCAGGCGGACCAAGGCAUACACGGCGGCCGAGGACAAGUUCCUUUGUGAGUGUUGGAGGGACAUUGGGCAAGACCCCAAGACCGGCGCCGGACAAAUGGAUUCAACCUUUUGGACUCGUGUCCAUCGUGAGUUCCAUGAGCGCAAGAAGUUUCCGCCGUACCAAAUGCAAAGCACACGCGGAUGGGUGUCCAUUUCGAAGCAUUGGAAGGUGAUCCAACAAGAGUGCAACAAGUUUUGUGCCACUCUUGAGAGCAUGAACGCACGCCCCGUGAGCGGCAUCGGCAUGCAAGACAUGGUAUGCUAG